GGCAAGUGUUAAACUUGGAGAGUAGGUGUGAGUUAUAAGAAGAUGAAAUAUAUGCCUUUAUCCAUCUCCACUAAGAACACAGAUAUGUUGGAAUUGUGCAAAUGCCCUAGAGGUGGUGUCACCUGGGACUUGAUGCCAACCUCUUGGUGCUCAGCAGGAUAAAGAGACCUGGGGAUAAUGUUGCUUGACAUUAAAGAAUGUUUAAAGUUUAUUAUUUGUGAAUGUGCUGUUGUGUACAAGCAAUUAUGCUACACUCUGCUGACUCCCUUAUUUUUUCCUCUUAAUU
rnacentral:lncRNA from 1 species